UCAGCACAGACACCUGCCUCGUUUCAUGGGGGUCUUCUCUGAAAUGGCCUCGAUCCCCUGCACGCACUUUCCAUCUAGAAAACUCAACAAAGUACUACGCAGCGUCGCUACUGAGAAAGCCAGGGCACGCACGCCCUUUUACGGGGACUCCUUGCCGUGGUCCUUAGAACAACGUAUGUGGCAGAUCAGCUGAAGUCAGGGUCACAGUGGACAGGUGUGUCUCUGGCAGGUGUCGGCAAGCGCCUUUCUCCCCUCCCCUCCCUUCCCGUUCCUCAGUUUCUCCGCCUUGCGGCCCGUGGCUUAGGUGUUCGCCAGGACUUCUGCAGCGGUGAGAGUACCCCGAGCAUGCAGCUGACUUUUUACUGGGGGUUUGACCACUUUUUAAAAACUUUUUUUCUUAUUCCGUUAGGGCAAGCAUCCCUGGGCUCCACGGAGGAAGCUAGUUCCUGUCCUGGAGAGCGCGGGUGACAGGAGACACUUCAACGAAGUGCCAGCGAAGAGGAUGAAGUCUUCUCAACCCUCACCUAAGCUCUGAAUCAGUACCUAGCGUUGCCAGCAAGCGGGCUUUGGCAGGAAAACCCUGAGAGAGCGAGAGAGCGAGAGAGCGAGCACAUGCCUCGUGUCACUCACAGGAAGGCAGCGGCUGCCACCACCACGCUGCUGACUGUUCAAAGCACUUUUCAUUUAUUUUUACUUUCACUUUGUCAUGCCGUCACCCGGAGCCUAGGACAGGCAGGGAUCAUCCCUUCCAUUUCGCAGAUGGAGAAACUGAGAUCCAAAGAGGGGACACUCCUCCGGGGGGGCACCGCGGUCCACCGGGGCCUGCGCCUUCCUCCCAGAUUCGAAGAUUUUGUGAAAACAAGAUGUCCUGGCAAGUCAGAGUUCCGUUUGGGUCCAUAUCCCUUCCCUCCCCAGUAAGUAAAGGAUAAAAUGUCUUAAUUUUAGGGACUGCAAGUCUCCUUAUGUCUAGGUCCAAGAAAGAGGGGCUCAAAACAGGAAAAUAAUUAGCUCAGAGUUCUGAAGCUGGACCCAAAGAGGAUGAGACUGACCAUGAAGGACUGGGCGGCAU
rnacentral:lncRNA from 12 species